AACGCGAAGAACCUUACCUGGUCUUGACAUCCACAGAAUUUAGCAGAGAUGCUUUAGUGCCUUCGGGAACUGUGAGACAGGUGCUGCAUGGCUGUCGUCAGCUCGUGUUGUGAAAUGUUGGGUUAAGUCCCGCAACGAGCGCAACCCUUAUCCUUUGUUGCCAGCACGUCAUGGUGGGAACUCAGGGGAGACUGCCGGUGACAAACCGGAGGAAGGUGGGGAUGACGUCAAGUCAUCAUGGCCCUUACGACCAGGGCUACACACGUGCUACAAUGGCAGAUACAAAGUGAAGCGAGCUCGCGAGAGUAAGCGGACCACAUAAAGUCUGUCGUAGUCCGGAUUGGAGUCUGCAACUCGACUCCAUGAAGUCGGAAUCGCUAGUAAUCGUGGAUCAGAAUGCCACGGUGAAUACGUUCCCGGGCCUUGUACACACCGCUAGUC
rnacentral:rRNA from 1 species